CGCGGCGGGAAGGCGCCGUCCCGCAGCCGCCCCCAGCGCCACUGCCCCCGCUCGCAGCUGAUGCGUCGCGUCCUCUAACGUAACAGUUCCCUUUUUUUAUCCAGGGCACUGAGCCGUACCCAGCUGAAACCAGCGGGCAAAAGCCCGCAGCCCCAGAAGAACAAUGGCAGGGCCACUUAGAAGCUGGUUUUACUUCACCCUUUGCUUCCAUCUUCUGGCGUUUAAAUGUGAGAUUGUUUCCUCAGUGCCUCAUGGAGUGAGAAAAACUGUUCUGGCUUAGCAUCAGGGCUUCAAAACCCACAUCAGAGACACUGCAAACAUAGCUGGGUGAGUCCCUGUGUGACCUACUCUAGGUGGUCCUGCUCUGGCAGGGGGGUUGCAUUGGAUGAGCUUUCGAGGUCACUUCAGUGAUUCUGACACCCGGGCUUCAUGUGGUGUUUUGGUGCCUCCUUGAAGUCUGCCCCAGCGCGCUGAGGUAACAGAGCCAAAGGACACCAAUGUUUCCUUUCACUGGGCAGGGGCAUCAGGAAGCUUGCUUUUGCUGAAGAAUCAGCCUCAGAUUUUCAACUGACAUCAAAAGAAACCCCAAACCUCGUGGGCUUUGAGGUGAUAAAGACCUGCCAGAGAUGAGCAGCAAGCCAGGAUGUUGCCACUCCAACACAAGAUCACUCACCUGCCUGAGCACAUGAACAAGGCCGGCUCUGGGAAUUAAAAGUCCGCCUCAGAGACAAGCAGUUACAGCACUGGUCCAUCCAUCCACAGCCCCGCUGCGCUGACGUGGUUAAAGAGGCCGAAUCUCUCUGCAAUUGUUCUGGUUCCUCCCUUCCCCCAAGCAGAUGCAGUGCCUGACUCCUCUGAGGUAGCGGAUGAAGUACUGGCGCAGGCGCCGUCAUUCAGCACAGUCAAGGGAGAACAAGAGCCCAGUGUCCAAGCGCUUGCCAACCUGUUGUGGGCGAAGUCACAAGACGAGCUCGCUAUUCAAGCCCAGCAGAAGCAGAAAGAUGCCCGAGGGAUCCUGAAGCUACAGCUGGGCAGCGAUGAAAGGCCAAUUCUGCUGGGAAUAAAAUCUAUUUUCUCCACCAAGAGGCCCCAGGAAUUACCAUAAGCUCACAAUGCCACCUGCUGACAAGGAGGAACAGCCACCGAGCUCUUCUGCCAUCCCCAGCAGCUCAGCUUUUCCAUUAACAGGUCACUGGAGGGAAGUGUCCGUAUCUGCAGACAGCUGCGAGAAUCAGACUGGAGGAGAGCACCGUGGCAAGAAGGGUCACGACACACACUAAGGAACCAUGUUGCCUGAGCCCCACUGGAACCUGCAGGAUCAAUUCCUCCUGUGCCUACAAGGAAAAAUAAAUGGAUUACAUGCAUUUAACAAGCUGUUUCUUUUUGCCUGCAACUUCAAGGAUGAGUAACAAGGCCAUUACUUACUCAGCCCUUUGCUAAAGCUUCUGCUGGGGUUCAAAAUCAAACCCAAGACGGGACGUCACCUUUCUGUUGUACAACAAAGGGAACACCAGCUGCUCCUGCAGCACACAGCUCAAGAAAUUUCCCUGCUACCAUUUAAAUGGCAGCCAUUUAUAUCUGCUGCGCCUUUGUUCUUGCAAUAGGCUGGCUGCUGAGGCUAUGAAGGUAAGGCAGCGUGGAAGGGAGAAGCUCUCAGCAUGAGCAUUUCACAGAUCACUAGGAAGCAGUUCCCUCCAAGGGGGACAACUGUUUGGUUUUUCUGUGAUGCAGGAAAGCUCCAAAGGGUUCUUAGACAAGAGCUGCAGAUACUCCAGACAUGUACAGGUAUCUUAAAUACAGGAAGGCACGUGUGUUACAAUACCAACAGGUUUGUUAUGAUACAAAAUUAGUCUUGUUCCUGAAUCUCUAUGCUACUGCAGCUCUUUUGAGUA